ACGGUUACCUUGUUACGACUUCACCCCAGUCAUCGGACCCGCCUUCGACGGCUCCCUCCUGUUUAGGUUGGGUCACCGGCUUCGGGCGUUUCCAACUCCCAUGGUGUGACGGGCGGUGUGUACAAGACCCGGGAACGUAUUCACCGCGGCAUUCUGAUCCGCGAUUACUAGCGAUUCCAGCUUCAUGUAGUCGAGUUGCAGACUACAAUCCGAACUGAGACGUUAUUUUUGAGAUUUGCUCACACUCGCGUGGUCGCUUCCCUCUGUUUACGCCAUUGUAGCACGUGUGUAGCCCUGGCCAUAAGGGGCAUGAUGAUUUGACGUCAUCCCCACCUUCCUCCAGGUUGUCCCUGGCAGUCCCUCCAGAGUGCCCACCUUAAAUGCUGGCUACUGAAGGUAAGGGUUGCGCUCGUUGCGGGACUUAACCCAACAUCUCACGACACGAGCUGACGACAACCAUGCACCACCUGUCUCCAAUGCCCCGAAGGGAACCAGGCAUUACCCUGAUGUCAUCGGGAUGUCAAGGCCAGGUAAGGUUCUUCGCGUUGCUUCGAAUUAAACCACAUGCUCCACCGCUUGUGCGGGGUCCCCGUCAUUCCUUUGAGUUUCA
rnacentral:rRNA from 1 species